ACUCAUAUAACACCCUAAAUAUUAUAUCUAAUAAAAACAAUAUAAAAUCAAUUAUUUAACAAACAAUAAAAUAAAAGUACUGAAAAGGAAUAAUAAAUAUCUAAAAGUAGUGAUAUCCACGUACCUUGUGCAUUAUGGUUUUACAAGAUAAAUAAUUAAAAAUUUACUCCCGAAUCCUACGCGAGCUGUCUAAGUAUAGCUAAGAACCCACCAUUAGUUAUGGCAUCAACUUUGGAAAAUACCUUGACAGAGGCUACAUACCAUACGCGCUAGAAAAUUGCUGGUUUUCAGUAAAAUUUAUAAAUUAAAACAUGUAAAUAAUUUACAAUGUAAAAUUUCAGAGGAUAAGCCCUGAAAUUAAAGGUCAAUCUACAAAUAAAUUUUUAAUUAGGCCUAAAAACAGCCACCUACAUUACGUUACUGUAUAUAAAUAUUUAAUUAUUAUUAAAUAUGCCACAAUAAUCUGAAAUUUAAGAAUAAUUCUUAAUCUUAAAAUAUUAUGUAAAAAUAAGUAUUAGAAAAACACUAAACAAUAUAAAUCAAAUUACCAUUAUCGACCAACCAAAUGCUUAUAAAGGAACUCGGCAAAUCUUAUUUCGACUGUUUAACAAAAACAUUGCUUCCUGAAUUUCUCAUAAGAAGUAAUUCCUGCCCGGUGAAUUAUAUUUAACGGCCGCGGUAUCCUAACCGUGCAAAGGUAGCAUAAUCACUUGCCCAUUAAUUGUGGGCUAGCAUGAAAGGACUAACGAAAUAAAGACUGUCUCUAUAAGCCUGCUAAAAAUUAAUCUCUAACUGAAGAGUGUUAGAUACUUUCGAAGGACAAGAAGACCCUAUAGAGCUUAAUUUUAAUAAAAAACUUUAUUUUUCUAAGAUUCGGUUGGGGCGACCAGGGAAGUAGAUAAUCAUCCCUCAUAUAUAGAUAAAUAAAUCAUAGUUCUGACCCUUAAUAAAGAUCAUUAGACUAAGCUACCUUAGGGAUAACAGGCUAAUCCUGCUAAAGAGUCCUUAUCAAUAGCAGGGUUUGGCACCUCGAUGUUGGCUUAGGGAAUCUAUGCGGCGCAAAAGUCGUAUAAAGAUGGUUUGUUCAACCAAUAACUCCCUACAUGAGCUGAGUUCAGACCGGCGUAAGCCAGGUUAGUUUCUAUCCUCGAUCAUACAAUCUAUUUAUAGUACGAAAGGACCUAAAUAAGAGUAAUUAUUACAUAUUAAAGAAUUCAUAUAAACUGUACUUAAAUCUCUACAAUCAUAAAUUAUG
rnacentral:rRNA from 1 species